rnacentral:rRNA from 1 species
CCUACGGGAGGCAGCAGUAGGGAAUUUUCCACAAUGGGCGAAAGCCUGAUGGAGCAAUACCGCGUGCAGGAUGAAGGCCUUCGGGUCGUAAACUGCUUUUAUGUGCGAAGAAUUUGACGGUAACACAUGAAUAAGGAUCGGCUAACUACGUGCCAGCAGCCGCGGUCAUACGUAGGAUCCAAGCGUUAUCCGGAAUUACUGGGCGUAAAGAGUUGCGUAGGUGGCAUUAUAAGUGGAGCGUGAAAGCGUGCGGCUCAACCGCAUUAUUGCGUUCCAAACUGUGAAGCUUGAGUAUGGGAGAGGUAGAUGGAAUUUCUAGUGUAGGAGUGAAAUCCGUAGAUAUUAGAAGGAACACCGAUGGCGUAGGCAGUCUACUGGCCCAUUACUGACACUAAGGCACGAAAGCGUGGGGAGCAAACGGGAUUAGAUACCCCGGUAGUCCACGCUGUAAACUAUGGAUGCUAGCUGUGACACACANACGACUCGUGUCGUAGACGACGUAACGUACGUUAAGUACACUCCGCCGUCGGGAGGUACGGUCGCGAGAGUAAACUACAANAGUAAGUAGACGGCGUGAGACGUGCCGACGGACGACGACGAGGGAGGAGG